ACUCAAAGGAAUAGACGGGGGCCCGCACAAGCGGUGGAGCAUGUGGUUUAAUUCGACGCAACGCGAAGAACCUUACCCAGACUUGACAUGUAUCGGACGCGUGUGGAAACACACGUUCCCUUCGGGGCCGAUGCACAGGUGCUGCAUGGCUGUCGUCAGCUCGUGUCGUGAGAUGUUGGGUUAAGUCCCGCAACGAGCGCAACCCUUGUCCCUAGUUGCUAACGGAUAAUGCUGAGCACUCUAGGGAGACUGCCGGUGGUAAACCGGAGGAAGGUGGGGAUGACGUCAAGUCCUCAUGGCCCUUACGUCUGGGGCUACACACGUGCUACAAUGGCCGGUACAGAGGGUUCCGAUACCGCGAGGUGGAGGCAAUCCCAAAAAACCGGUCUCAGUUCGGAUUGCAGUCUGCAACUCGACUGCAUGAAGUUGGAAUCGCUAGUAAUCGCUGAUCAGCAGGCAGCGGUGAAUACGUUCCCGGGCCUUGUACACACCGCCCGU
rnacentral:rRNA from 1 species